rnacentral:lncRNA from 1 species
AACGAUACGGUACGAUGCAGUACGAUACAAUACAUUAUAAAACGAUGUGUAACAAUGAUCGAAACAGAGUGUUAGUUUUAAUCCGAGGGCGAAGCUCGGUGUAAUGUUGAAAAUUUGAAGCAAUUUGUCAUACCUUAUGUAAUUUGGGUUUAAUUUGUAGUGAAUUUGAAGUUUUCAUCCUUUAUUGCUGAGUGAGUUGUUUCGUUCUAUUGGUUUACGUCAAAGAUUGCUGUCGCAAAUGCUAUUUAUGAGCAUUCCGGAAAGUAUUAAUUCCACUUUAACUCCUAGAACUUGUUUUUAGUUUGAGGGAGAGCCUUGGGCUAUUGUAAAUUUGUAGUUGCAAAAAAUGCAGUUGAUUUCUGUUUAUCUGCCUAAGCCUUGAUAGGCACAUUUACCCGAUAUUUGUGCUAGUGGGAGAUAGCUAACCGGUGGAAUAGUCGAGGUGUGUGUAAGCAGUGUUGUGAA